rnacentral:rRNA from 1 species
GACGAACGCUGGCGGCGUGCCUAAUACAUGCAAGUAGAACGCACAGUUUAUACCGUAGCUUGCUACACCAUAGACUGUGAGUUGCGAACGGGUGAGUAACGCGUAGGUAACCUGCCUGGUAGCGGGGGAUAACUAUUGGAAACGAUAGCUAAUACCGCAUAAUAUUGAUUAUUGCAUGAUAAUUGAUUGAAAGAUGCUAUUGCAUCACUACCAGAUGGACCUGCGUUGUAUUAGCUAGUAGGUGAGGUAACGGCUCACCUAGGCGACGAUACAUAGCCGACCUGAGAGGGUGAUCGGCCACACUGGGACUGAGACACGGCCCUGACUCCUACGGGAGGCAGCAGUAGGGAAUCUUCGGCAAUGGACGAAAGUCUGACCGAGCAACGCCGCGUGAGUGAAGAAGGUUUUCGGAUCGUAAAGCUCUGUUGUAAGAGAAGAACGGGUGUGAGAGUGGAAAGUUCACACUGUGACGGUAUCUUACCAGAAAGGGACGGCUAACUACGUG